rnacentral:rRNA from 1 species
UGGGCAACCUGCCUCAUAGAGGGGAAUAGCCUUCCGAAAGGGAGAUUAAUACCGCAUAAGAUUGUAGCUUCGCAUGAAGUAGCAAUUAAAGGAGCAAUCCGCUAUGAGAUGGGCCCGCGGCGCAUUAGCUAGUUGGUGAGGUAACGGCUCACCAAGGCGACGAUGCGUAGCCGACCUGAGAGGGUGAUCGGCCACAUUGGGACUGAGACACGGCCCANACUCCUACGGAAGGCAGCAG